AUCACUGCAGCCGGGCGCGCGCGCGGCGGGGGCCCGCGGGGAGCCGGGAGCGCGCCCGCCCCCGCCCGUCCAUCAGCACGUGCCGUGGGCGGGAGGGCUGGCGGGGCUCCCCGGCAAGGAAAGUUGGCCGGGAGGAACAAGCCGGGCCUGCUUUUCCUCCUCGGUCCCCCCUCCGCGGGCGGCAGCGCGGGCCACAGCCUGGGCCAGCUUGUCGCUGGGCGCCCGGGCCCCGGCGUUAUCCYGCCCCGCCGCCCAGCCGUGCUUUCCCCGUCAAGAAGCUCCUCUAGGAAAGGGCAGGGAGGUGUGAGGGCAGAAAGCGGCCCAGCCGGUGUCACGGAAGCACAGCCGGCCUUGAAGAGGGUCGAGACGCGAGAAAAGCAGCUGGAGUUGGCUGCAGGGCCGGGAAGCUCCWUGCAGAUGCUGGUGGAGUUGGUGCCAUGGAAAGCGGACAAGCUGCCAGCAUUCACCGAGUAGGUGGGGUGCAGGAUUGCCGUCGCAGCUUUGGUGGGGUUUCAGGGGAGCUGCCUGUGAGCUGGGGAGGGCAGCGAGCAGGCAACGGUGGCAGCCGCAUAGGGAAAAACUCACAUGCGCCUUUUGGAUUCGUGGAAAAAUAGUUCUGAGAAGGCUGACGUUGCAGGGCCGCAUGAGGGAUAGAGUUCCAUUGCAAAGGACAGUGUUGUUUGUUUGCUUUUUUCAUUUCCCCUAUUUAAAUAAAUAUGCCCAGUUAGAUUGGAAUACAUUGUAACUUCUGCAGUGAGCUGCUCUGCUCGCUGAUAAGGAUGCUGAAGGCCAUGAUUUACAUUGCAUUUCCAAGCUCCUUAUCAUUAAGACAAAUGGGAAAAGUAAUAAUCUGUCUGCCUUCAAGUGACAUCUCCCAGCAGCAGUGCAGAAGGCGCUCCAGUGACAGUGCUGUGUGCUGGGGAGACUGCACAGCUCCCACCUGGGCUGCACAGUUGUGCUGCAGAUGUCCUCUUGCCUUUCACUUGUCCUGUCACUUGGUUACUCUGCAUCAAGAACUUUGCACACAAAGGCAGCUACAGGGGGAAAUGAAGAUCACCUGGAUCGUGCAGACCUACUCACUUUCCGUUUGCUGCACACCAAAACUCUCUUUAGGCCUUCGGGACACACCAGUAAUUGCUCGUGUGGAGAUGCCUGCCCAGAUAAACUGUUUCUAGAGAAUAACCAGUUGGGAAGCAAUCUGGCUUAUUGGUGCCAAAUAGCCACAUCUGUUGUGGGAUGUAUUGCGGCAAACAUGGGCUUGCUAAUUUUGUUGACCUCUCCACAGUGUAGCUCCAUUUUUGCAUGCUAAUAUCAGAUAGGACUUGGAAAUGUUGUGUACUCCACUCGAGUUGUCACCUCUGAAUGGAAGAUGAGAGCACGAGCUCUGCAUCCUGGCUCACRUGUGUUUUACCCACAGAUUGUUAGAUGAGUGCUUAACUUGUGUACUAUCCUACACAGCAAAACAACAGAGGAAGUAUGACUCCAAACCUAUCAACUUCAGACUCCUUUAAAAUGUAGGCAGGUAAAGGCACACCUAAUAAUUGUAUGUGGUCAGAUACUGUGGUGAUAGGCAUUUUAAAAAGGCAGUUCUUGUCUUACUAGACUUUCAGAAAAUUUUUUCCGAUCACCAUCAUCCAGAAAAAUCUGUCAGUGUCCAAAACAAAGCCAGCCUGCGAGAAAGACAAAAUCACAGCUUCCAUGCCAAGCAAUACAGAACUCCUAUGCUUAUGUUUAUAAUUUCAAAGGAAAAUAUGAGUCUGCUGUUCUUCCACUCUGUACUAUCAGAUUAUAGCAGCAGAAUAGACACUCAAUAUGGAAGAAGAAUGCAACAUGCGUGUGUGUGCUCCCAACCAGAACCAAAGCUGUUAGUGCUAGCAUCUCUUCAGUAAUAAUGUGUGCUAAGACASUCCAGUGCUCGUCAGAUGUUAGAUAUUGAUUUCAAUCUAGGAURCAUGAAUGUAGCAACAGCCACUAGCCUUGAAAUGUAUUUAACCCUUUUUGUGAAAUGGAUCAACUCUUUUCAUUCCAUUCCUGGUGUGUGAAUUUGCACAUUACAGAAAUUGCUCUCUCAGCAAGUACUUUUCAAGGCUCUUGGGCACUGAGGACACCCACAAGUGACAGUCCCUGUCAGAUCAGAAACAGCGUUGCUGAGGAUGAAGUUUGUAUUGCUAUGAGAACUUCUAAACAGAGAGCAGCUUCUGUGACUGCUUGGAAAGUCAAUGAAGUCUCUAACAACCACCAGCCAUGCUCAUGACCUUACCGAAUGACGCUGUUACAGUGGCCACAGAGCGGGGUUCGGCUGCUGGCUGGAAAACGCUCCGCCCUCUGAACUGUUCCCCGGGCUAAUGCAGGGGGCUGGGAAGAAGGUGAAACUGGAGACGGGUGCAAUCCUUACAAAAGCCACUGAAAAUGUAACAUCUACAUGAGCCAGAAGUUGCUGGAAUUGGAAGAACUUGGACACCUGCCUUGGAGGCUCUGGGCAUUUCCACCUGAAGGCGUUAGAGGUUGUUAUUACAAACCAUUCCAAAGCUCCAAACCGGGUCAGUUAUGCAGUUACACRUCACAGUGUACCUUUGGUUACUGGAUGAAGCAAGAGGGGCUGUCUGGCCAAAACUGGCCUCCCUCUGGCUUGUACCUGCUCCAAGCCCCACAGAGCCCUUGGAGGCCACUGGCUGAGCAUUGGCAGUGUUGGCAUCCCUGGUGGAUGAUUUAGGAGGAUGCCAAAUACUCGAGGUCACAUACUGUGGUGCAUGCGUGGUACCUGCAGGCCUGGGUAACAGAGAUUACAAGGGUGUUUGUAAAUGAGGCAUUUCCUAGGUAACAGCAGGUGUUUGAGGAAACACACAAUUCCAGCCACGGAAGGAGCUGGAGAUCAUAAUGAUAGUGCAGAUGAAGUAAUGACUAAUUUUGACAGUUCAUUAGUUAAUGAAUGCUUAAGACCAGGUAUGGCUUGAUGAAUUAAAAAAAGGUACCUUGUGUUAAAUCUGAAAACAAUAUUGUUAUGAAUAUCAAAAUUAGCAAAGCUUGGAUGAUAGUGGAGGUGGAGAAAGGCUGUGGUAAGACAAAUCACACAAGAUUAAGGCAAGAUAGUAUGACAAUAACACCAGUCAUAUAUCAGAAAUUGUUCCUGGCAAAAUAAAAUAAUGAUUUUUAAAAAGGAGAUUUCAGUGAAGCAGUUGCACAGUCCAAUAGAUGGUUUUACACAAAUAAAACUGGUGSUGGAAUUCUAACAUGUGUUGCUUGUUCUUUACAAUUCAAUUUGUAUUCAGGAAUCA